rnacentral:lncRNA from 1 species
GGAGGGGAAACAUAAAAAGUCUUUUCUGCAAGUAGGCUGCUUUACAGCAAAAGUUCUGCCUGUGGCGAUACGAAAUCAAGAGGAAAAAACAGAUAAACACAGAAUGCAUAUCUAAGCUACUGGAUGUUUACAAAAGGUACUGCAGAAGGGAAAAUGUACCAGAUGAAAUGGAAAUUAUUUCAUGAAUCACCUCACGAUUUCACAGAAAUAAGGGAAGUAUUAUUACUGAUUAUUCUCCAUAAAACAAGUUUAAAAACAUACCAUCGUCUAAAAAGGAAAAGUGAAAGGUUUCUAAAUUGGAUAUUUCAAUAUUGCUAAUGAGAACGAAGUGAGCUGAUGAAUGUUGAAUCAUUCCUUGACAGUUUUUAAACAAAUAUUAUCAUUCAUUCUCUUUCCUGCAUCGACAGAUGAUGUUUCUUGUUCAAAUGAGGCUUCCUGACUUUUGAUAAAGGCUGCUGAAAAUAGCACUCCCCUUCCCAAGCUGUAUAUUCACCUCUAGCAUAUACUGACAUACUGACAGGGAAUGAAAAUUUGGGAUGCUCUGCAGUGUUCUGCCCUUUCAUGAAGGGUUUGUCUUGUGUGUGAAGUAUGAUGUACACCAUGGUAUCACUAUAUCACAUUACCCGGUGAUGAAUUUAGAAGCUGCCACUGCUGUCUAAUUCAGCAAUCCAUUUUGAAAUUGAGUAGCCUCUUCUCUCCCUUAAAAGUAGGGCAUCAUUAAAUUAAAGUAACCUAUUGUGUGCAGCAGACUAGGCAAGAAGUGGGUGAUGUUCUCCUGCCUUCAGCUGUCUGUCCCUGCCUGCUGGCUGCUUUCAAAUGGAGGAGACAAGUCUGAUGGGCUGCUUAAACUCGUUCCUUCACUUCCCUCCAUUCUUAGCCUCCACAGAGGGCAGACUUGGGACUGUAAAGAACAGCUGCUUACCUCACUGAUGCUUUAUAUACUGAUUUAAGUGUGUAUAUGCUCACUUUUAUAUCUUGUUUAUUCAUUACUGUGGAAGGCUAUAGGAAGUUGGAGGUGAGGAGAUGCUUUCCUGCAGGGGGAAAGUUGCAAGGUACAAGACUGAAAAUGGAUUUUGGAUUUGUGGAGCAGGCUGUGUGUAAGCAAAUGCACUUGGAUUCCGUGCUGGCUUUCUCCCGUUACACAGUUUUUGCAUUGUUCUUGAUCAAAAUGGAUGGAAAAUACUGAGGGUGUUCACUUGGUUUUGCUAUAAUUGCUAUAAACAUUCUAAAUAGUGCUUUGGUUAAUAGUCAGAAGGACAAAUGGGAAGGAAGCCAUCAGGUGGGUAGUCAGGUAGAGACACUUUGUUUGCGUUUACUGUAAGAGCACAUUGGAAAUAUUGUUAAUUUAACAUCAACCAUCUAAAGAUAGCACCAAUUCUAAUUUCAUCAGCAGGUGAGUGUGAAAAAUCGGCCAAUGUUUUCAAUGUAGAAGUGGAAAAAUAAAAAAAUAGAAAGCCAGUUAUGUAUUAAUUGUGAUAGAGCACUAUCUGAAUUUGAAGAGCUAGAAAUUCUGCCCAUUUCAUCGAGACUUGACCUAACAUUUCCCACUGCGAGUAGAAAAUAUUGAUAUAAUGCAUAGGAAUCAUUCUGUUUGUGGUGGGUUUUUGUGGUUGUUUGUCCUUUUCUUUCUUUCUUUUUUUUUACUAGCCGUUGCCCAUAUGGCCAGUUAAUUAUCCUUCUGCAGGCAGAAUUAUUUUAUUUAAUGAAUUUUUAAAUGUCAGUGACGUGAAAAACCAUUACUGUGGUUGUAAGUCCAUUACUCACCUUCAGCUUCUAUUUCCCAUCACCCCCCACUUUAGCUUUAAGGAGCAUCUGAAGUGACAGAGCUUUGAUUUCAGUUGAGAGUGCUGAGCACAGAAGUCUUACAAGUAAUACAUUAUUAAAAAAUCGUAGCAAGAAAAUUAAUUUCUACUAUCGUAUGCCAUGCUGGGUAUAUCACUUCUAACAAAUGACCUUUUUUUUUCAUAUAUUCAUUGGUAGAUUUACCAGGACAAAAUAAUUACUUUGUUUUCCAC